AUUGAACGCUGGCGGCAGGCCUAACACAUGCAAGUCGAACGAGUGGCGGACGGGUGAGUAAUGUCUGGGAAACUGCCUGAUGGAGGGGGAUAACUACUGGAAACGGUAGCUAAUACCGCGUACCAUCAGGUGUGCCCAGAUGGGAUUAGCUAGUAGGUGGGGUAACGGCUCACCUAGGCGACGAUCCCUAGCUGGUCUGAGAGGAUGACCAGCCACACUGGAACUGAGACACGGUCCAGACUCCUACGGGAGGCAGCAGUGGGGAAUAUUGCACAAUGGGCGCAAGCCUGAUGCAGCCAUGCCGCGUGUAUGAAGAAGGCCUUCGGGUUGUAAAGUACUUUCGGUGACGAGGCGUUAAUCACAGAAGAAGCACCGGCUAACUCCGUGCCAGCAGCCGCGGUAAUUC
rnacentral:rRNA from 1 species